UCGUCAUACGCGCGCGCCACCACCGUUCUCUUGGGGAGCCGGCGAGCUGUAGAGCUGUUAUGGCGAGCUCCGCGGCCUCCUCGGUGCGACCGCCGAGGCCCAGGAAAGAGCCGCAGGCCCUCGUCAUCCCGAAGAAUGCGGCGGAGGAACAGAAGCUCAAGCUGGAACGUCUCAUGAAGAACCCGGACAAAACAGUUCCAAUUCCAGAAAAAAUGAGCGAAUGGGCACCUCGACCUCCCCCAGAAUUUGUCCGAGAUGUAAUGGGUUCAAGUGCUGGGGCUGGCAGCGGAGAGUUCCAUGUGUACAGGCACUUGCGCCGGAGAGAGUACCAGCGGCAGGACUACAUGGAUGCCAUGGCUGAGAAGCAAAAAUUGGAUGCAGAGUUUCAGAAAAGACUAGAAAGGAAUAAAAUUGCCGCGGAGGAACAGACUGCAAAGCGUCGGAAAAAGCGUCAGAAGUUAAAAGAGAAGAAAUUAUUGGCAAAGAAAAUGAAACUUGAGCAGAAGAAACAAAAAGAAGGCCCCCAUUGCCACCGCAGUCACUGAUGCCAUUCUGACACUGGAAGGAUUACCUGAGAGCUAAGGUGUGAGAGAAUGGAGAAGAGAGGAGAAACAAAAGAAUUUCCUUCACUCUGAGCAUUGGGAGUUCACUUUCUUAGUCCUCGAACUAGAACUAGAAGGAUCCAGUCAGUCCCAGGAGCAGCGAUCCAGUAGCUCUGAGGAGGCAUCUGGAACGGAGGAGGAAGAGGAGGACCAGCCCAGCUUCAUCAUGGGGCGGUGACGAUGUUGCCACAGCAGCUGUCAGGAGCGUGGCCCGUUCUGUGACUGGGCCUCAGGAAACCCUCCACACGCCCCGAGGGGAAGGGACCUCUGUUUCAGCUCAGUUUCCCUACCAAAGCCUUGAUGGAUAGAAGCAAGCGGGAACCCAUCAGAGGGCUCACAGCCCCACUAUCGGAGAGAGGACCGUCUCCUGGACACUCGAGGGCACUGCCAAGCACGGUUUGUUCACAUUCCCGCUAAAAGGAAGGAAAAUGUAUAACCUGUGAACCACUGGUGCCUGUUCUCACAUAAUUGGAUGGUGAUGAGUUUGGGGCUGGCUUCUGAAAGGAAAUGUUUAUUCAGUAAAGAACAAAAAACUUCAGGUUUUGUUCAGACCGGUGAUAUGAUUGCAGAAGCUGUCAUGAAGGCUGUGAAUGACAUGAUGGGAACAGGGCCUGUUCCUAGACCCAUACAGAAAUGGCCUUGGCCCUGGAGCUAACUCGCAGUGCAGGGCGCACGGCCUCCCUCUCCUUCAGCAGAGGGUGCACACUGCACCCCAGAAGGCGUGCUCCCGCCCAGCAGCUCCCAGCACACAGUGCAAAGGGGGACGUAGGACUUAACCAUGGGCCGAGCUAGAAGAGAGGACCUUGAUGUGUGACAAUAAGCAGGCAGAGAAUCCAGGUGGGGCUGGACCAGAGCAGAUGAUCCGGGGAAUGAAUCCUCACUGCACUGCAGGGAGGCGGAUGAAUUGGCCAAAAGCUGUAUUUUCAUCUGGAGGUAAAGGGGCUCUAAACAGAAAAUGAGAGGUGACUGAGGGCAACUUUCAGGCCAACAGAAAGGAGAGAUGGUUUCUAAUUAGAGCCUUUGCUCACUUUUUGGAUAUCUCCAAGUUUCUAGGUUUAUUUUGUACCUUUUAUGGAGUUUGAUACAAUUAAGAAAAAUAGUUUCCCUUCACUCAAAGCCACUGAGAAACAUCUUUUUUUUUCGUUCCCUGGCCCUACCCUGAGCCAUGUGACAUCUGUGAUAGCUUCUGUCUUUCCUCAGUUCAAGUCACAGGAAUUUUUCUUUCCCAGGAAGCUGAAGUGGAGAGUCAGCCCUAAUAAAUUAGCACACACCCUGACUGUA